UAGGAAAGUCCGGUGUUUAUUUAACGUAUAUACAUUAUUAAGAGUAUUAAUAAAAAAUUAUUGGUAUUUAGCAGAAAAUAAUGGUUAUUUAUUUUUUUUUCUAUAAUCUUAAAGUUUAAAAAACUAAAAUGAUUAUAAAAUUAGUAUAAAUAUAGAAGUGUAAAAAAUUUAGCUAUAGUAUAAAAUAAUCACGAACUUUCAAGCUAAUAGUUAAGCCUUUUGUUUAGUUUAAUAAAAAAUUAACAGGAAUCGGCUUAU
rnacentral:RNase_P_RNA from 1 species